CCUACGGUGUGCAGCAGUGAGGAAUAUUGGUCACUGGUCGUAAGGCUGAACCAGCCAAGUCGCGUGAAGGAAGAAGGGUCUGUGGUUUGUAAACUUCUUUUAUAGGGGAAUCAAGGUAUCCACGCGUGGCUCUUUGCAUGUACCCUAUGAAUAAGCAUCGGCUAACUCCGUGCCAGCAGCCGCGGUCAUACGGAGGCUGCGAGCUGUAUCCGGCUUUAUUGGGUUUAAAGGGUGCGUAGGUGGUGUUUUAAGUCAGCGGGGAAAGUUCGUGGCUCAACCCUAAAAUUGCCGUUGAAACUGGAAGACUUGAGUUUGUGUGAGGUAUGCGGAAUGCGAGGUGUAGCGGUGAAAUGCAUAGAGAUCACGCAGAACUCCGAUUGCGAAGGCAGCUUACUGAGCCAUAACUGACACUGAAGCACGAAAGCGUGGGUAUCAAACAGGAUUAGAUACCCGAGUAGUC
rnacentral:rRNA from 1 species